CAUUUUGGACAAUGGGCGCAAGCCUGACCCAGCCAUGCCGCGUGAGUUAAGAGGGCCUUCGGGCGGUAAAGCUCUUUCGUACGGAAAGAAAUCGCGCAGGCUAAUACCCUGCGCUUAUGACGGCACCGUUGUUAGAAGCACCGGCUAACUACGUUCCCGCAGCCGCGGUAAAACGUAGGGUGGUAGCGUUAAGCGGAAUUUCUGGGCGUAAAGCGUGCGCAGACGGUUGAUUAAGAAAGGCGUGAAAUACCCGGGGUUAACCAGGGAACUAGGCUUGUGGCUGGUGAGCGGGAGUACGGCAGAGGGGGGUGGAAUUCCACGUGUAGCAGUGAAAUGCGUAGAGAUGUGGAGGAACACCGAUGGCGAAGGCAGCCCCCUGGGCCGAUACUGACGAUCAUGCACGAAAGCGUGGGUAGCAAACAGG
rnacentral:rRNA from 1 species